rnacentral:rRNA from 1 species
AUUGAACGCUGGCGGCAGGCCUAACACGUGCAAGUCGAGCGGAUGAAGGGAGCUUGCUCCUGGAUUCAGCGGCGGACGGGUGAGUAAUGCCUAGGAAUCUGCCUGGUAGUGGGGGAUAACGUCCGGAAACGGGCGCUAAUACCGCAUACGUCCUGAGGGAGAAAGUGGGGGAUCUUCGGACCUCACGCUAUCAGAUGAGCCUAGGUCGGAUUAGCUAGUUGGUGGGGUAAAGGCCUACCAAGGCGACGAUCCGUAACUGGUCUGAGAGGAUGAUCAGUCACACUGGAACUGGGACACGGUCCAGACUCCUACGGGAGGCAGCAGUGGGGAAUAUUGGACAAUGGGCGAAAGCCUGAUCCAGCCAUGCCGCGUGUGUGAAGAAGGUCUUCGGAUUGUAAAGCACUUUAAGUUGGGAGGAAGGGCAGUAAGUUAAUACCUUGCUGUUUUGACGUUACCAACAGAAUAAGCACCGGCUAACUUCGUG